UUGUUACAAGUUCCCGAAAGGAUUUAGCAAGUAAUUGUCGUUACUUACUAAAGAUGCCUUGUAACCGAAACUAUUUAGGGGGAAUAACAUUAUG
rnacentral:sRNA from 20 species